GUGCUCGCUUCAGCAGCACGUAUACUAAAAUUGGAACGAUACGGAGAAGAUUAGCAUGGCCCCUAGGGGAAAAAAAAAAUGCUCCUCAGUCAGGCCUCCCAGUUACUU
ensembl:snRNA U6 U6 spliceosomal RNA